GUCUUCAUACGGAAUGGGCUCUGGCUUUUUGUUUUGUCUAAUAUCAUCUGGCUUGGCCCGUUUUUUAUCAGGUUUCUUUGUUUUUUGCGGUUUAUCUAAUUUCUUUGGAGUAACUUUGGAUAUUGUUGAAGCCGAGGAAGA
ensembl:ncRNA F59B10.10 ncRNA